UCACAAUUUAAUCUCCACUAUCACAAGCAUGUUUCAGUAAGCAUGAAGACUACAGUCUCACAAUUCUGACCGAGGAAAUAUAAUUUAGAAUUAACUUCCUUCCAAAUUAAGACAUUCCUCUGAUGUGCUGCCCAGUGGAAUAAAGUUGCAUUCUCUGACAGUACUUAGCCCCACCCAGCUGAUCUUUUGUGUACAGAUAUGCGGAGACCUAAUACCAAGUUACUAAAAGCAUCUCUCUGCAGCCUUGCCUGUAUCUUCACUUAGCUCAUUUUACUUUCUGUUGCAGCCUCUCUGAGAUGGGUUUAGCACUGCUAUCAUUUAAAGGCAGCAAGAUUAUCUUCAAGAAAAACAGCUCUAAAAUCCAUCCAUCCUAUUGACGUCAAUUGCUUAGGAAGGGAGUGAAUACAGAAAACUUCGUAGAAAGUCAGCUCUGCGUGUUUUAUCUUAGAUUUCCAAGUGAAAACAAUUGCUAGAAAGCCUGAGGUUGUUGCUGAUUAUAAAACAGUGAUUUUUCCCCUCCUGUGAUUUUUAAAAAUUCAGUGGUUUGAACUAUCUGAAUCAAAGUUUAAACUUUGAUUUAUGUAGCUGUAUAAGAAUUUUGCAAUGUCAGCUGUGAAGUUUGAAUUGGAUAAUCUUUCUCCUGAAGGAUUCAGACAUGAGCAUGUUUCCAGCUCAGAGUUUACUUUAACCUGCUUGACUGAACUUUCUGGUGAUUCUAGUCAAUGGGAACUUCAGCACUACAAUUCUGUCCCUGUUGGCAUUGAGCUAGGUGAGAAAGUACAGGAAGAGAGACUGAAAAGAACAUUAUAUACAAGGUAAGAAAAACCAAGAUUGAGUCCGAAUGGGGUGUAUAAUAGCAGUGCAGUUUCCUAUUUUUUAUUAAGAAAAUGAUAUGUUAAUAUAUACUUUA
rnacentral:lncRNA from 1 species